rnacentral:rRNA from 2 species
UAACACGUGGGUAACCUGCCUGUAAGACUGGGAUAACUCCGGGAAACCGGAGCUAAUACCGGAUAGUUCCUUGAACCGCAUGGUUCAAGGAUGAAAGACGGUUUCGGCUGUCACUUACAGAUGGACCCGCGGCGCAUUAGCUAGUUGGUGAGGUAACGGCUCACCAAGGCGACGAUGCGUAGCCGACCUGAGAGGGUGAUCGGCCACACUGGGACUGAGACACGGCCCAGACUCCUACGGGAGGCAGCAGUAGGGAAUCUUCCGCAAUGGACGAAAGUCUGACGGAGCAACGCCGCGUGAGUGAUGAAGGUUUUCGGAUCGUAAAGCUCUGUUGUUAGGGAAGAACAAGUGCAAGAGUAACUGCUUGCACCUUGACGGUACCUAACCAGAAAGCCACGGCUAACUACGUGCCAGCAGCCGCGGUAAUACGUAGGUGGCAAGCGUUGUCCGGAAUUAUUGGGCGUAAAGGGCUCGCAGGCGGUUUCUUAAGUCUGAUGUGAAAGCCCCCGGCUCAACCGGGGAGGGUCAUUGGAAACUGGGAAACUUGAGUGCAGAAGAGGAGAGUGGAAUUCCACGUGUAGCGGUGAAAUG